GGGUUGUUAGCUCAGCUUGGUAGAGCAGUUGACUUUUAAUCAAUUGGUCGCAGGUUCGAAUCCUGCACGACCCA
rnacentral:tRNA from 1 species